rnacentral:piRNA from 1 species
UACUGCAGAUCCGCAUGUGGACCAUGAGA